AGGCCUAAUUAGCACUGACUGAAGUAGCCUAAAUGUGGAUCAUCAGGUUGUUGCUGCUGUCUAUAAAGUUUAUCAUAGCAAGGUGCUUAUCAUGUGUAUUUUUAUUAUUUCCGAAAAAAGAAUCAAUUCAUCAUUUUCCGAUAACUAGAUCUAUGUCCGACUCCUUUCUAAUGAAAACGAGCCAAAGUAAAACGAGUCUCUCGUCGCGCGCUAUAACGGGGUGUUUGCGGUAUUGUCCUCUCUGGUGAUGAUAAGCUAGUCGAUAGUCAAAAGUUAAAUAUCACCAUAUAUUGUCAGUGAGUUGGUCAUCGUUUGUUGAUUAUUAAAGUGAGAUAGGUGUAGCCAAUGUGCACCAAUGAAAAAUACAAUGGAAUUGAUAGCAACCAUAUUCUUUCGGUUUUCGAUCUGCAUAUGUUGCCACGUAGGCUACCAUACUACAGAAUUAUAUUUAACGAUAUUUAACUGUAUUAGAUCUGUUAAUAAACGUAGUGACAAAUAAAUUUCAAAAAAUAUUUAGAGCUGUUUCAACUCCGUCUGGUAUUGUAUAAGCUAUUGCAUUUUGUUUAUUUCCCCAUGUUUCUAAUCUUUGUAAAUGUUAGAACAUAUAUAACUAUCCUGGCAUAUUAAUAUGGAAAAUAUUAAGGUAGAUCUAAGUAUUAAAAAAAAUCACAGUUUUAAUUAGGAUAAAUACCCCAAAGUGUUAACACUUUUAUCACUUAUUGGUGGGCCAAUUCAUAAUUCAUAUUCAACAUUCUUGCUUCAAAUAUGGGAACUAUUUAUUUUAUUUGGCAAUAUAUAUUUUUCAUUUAUGUACAUAUUUUUCAAAUAAGGUUUUAGAAACUUGGCCAUGAUAUUCACUUGAAUCACUAGUUUGAGUGUACAGCAGAAAGGUAAAGUUACUGCUUUUGAAAAACUACAGUUGAUCUGUUGACUGAUAAAACUAUUUGCCAAUAUUACUAUCAGUUACAUCAUACUCUAUUAGUCUAAGUAAAUGGGAUUUAUCUAUACAGUACUGGUUUAUUUAAGAAUGUGAUACUUUGUGGUUUCUGUUUUUCUUUCAGGUGGAGAAAACAGUAUUGUGGGAGCGUAUUUGUUUAAAGUACAUAUCACUGACAGAAAGUUACCAAGGCAUAAGGAGAGACUGAGGAUACAGUUGAAGAUCAUCCCUGUGACUUUUCAUUUGAGGACUGAAAAGGCUCCCUAGCAACUCAGCCCAUGUUCUGACUUGUCAUUUAACAAAUAAAUAAAGGUCACCUCAA